ACCAAGUCACAAGAAUCGUCAUCACGGUCCACCCACUUUCCAUCGUCAUCUUCUAUCAUACCUGUUGGUUGAAUCGACGUACGGAUACACUAUCUUACCGUGGGGAAAGUCCCCGGAGCUUACUUUUUCUCUUCUCUUCCCCCUUUCUUGAUCGUAGGUCGAACAGUAAAGGAAAGCGCUUGAAAUCAAGUAUCUCUAGUCACAAAUCUGUUCUUCUUCUCAUCUUCUCCUCUUUUCCAUUCACUUGGAUCUGGAGAACAAGAUGACUUGACAAAUCUUAAAGAUGAAAUUCGAUCGACGGUUCUCAUCCGGAUCGAACAUGAUCCCUUGAAAAGAUCUUGUCGAGGACCUACGAUCCCAUGAUUCAUCUCUCGCCUUUCCUUUUCUCUUCAUUGGCGAAGAUACGAGUUGUGAUAUAUGAAGAGGAUCGGUAUGGGAGAUGUAUCUUUGGUCAAAAGAGGGGGAAUAGGUAAAAAAGAGAAAAUUGAGAAUGGCUCAUAGAUUAUAGUCAUGCGAUUGCCUGGUAACAUUUCGAAUCGAUAGAUUCAAGAUGGAAGGUAACUCGAUGGGGCUUACUCUGUCACUUGG
rnacentral:RNase_MRP_RNA from 2 species